CCGGGUCUGACGCAGGCACCCGGUCACAAAGACGAUUCCGUCUCAAGCGCUGC
rnacentral:ncRNA from 1 species